rnacentral:rRNA from 1 species
GAGUGGAUCCUGAGUACGGCGGAACACGUGAAAUUCCGUCGGAAUCUGGGAGGACCAUCUCCCAAGGCUAAAUACUCUCUAGUGACCGAUAGUGAACCAGUACCGUGAGGGAAAGGUGAAAAGCACCCCGGAAGGGGAGUGAAAUAGAACCUGAAACCGUGUGCCUACAAGAAGUUAGAGCCCGUUAAUGGGUGAUAGCGUGCCUUUUGCAGAAUGAACCGGCGAGUUACGAUUGCAUGCGAGGUUAAGCUGAAGAAGCGGAGCCGUAGCGAAAGCGAGUCUGAAUAGGGCGAGUGAGUAUGUAGUCGUAGACCCGAAACCAUGUGACCUACCCAUGUCCAGGUUGAAGGUGCGGUAAAACGCACUGGAGGACCGAACCCACGUACGUUGAAAAGUGCGGGGAUGAGGUGUGGGUAGCGGAGAAAUUCCAAACGAACUUGGAGAUAGCUGGUUCUCUCCGAAAUAGCUUUAGGGCUAGCCUCGGAAUUAAGAAUGAUGGAGGUAGAGCACUGUUUGGACUAGGGGCCCGUCUUGGGUUACCGAAUUCAGAUAAACUCCGAAUGCCAUUCAUUUAUGUCCGGGAGUCAGACAGUGAGUGAUAAGAUCCAUUGUCGAAAGGGAAACAGCCCAGACCACCAGCUAAGGUCCCCAAAUAUAUGUUAAGUGGAAAAGGAUGUGAGGGUGCACAAACAACUAGGAUGUUGGCUCAGAAGCAGCCAUCAUUUAAAGAGUGCGUAAUAGCUCACUAGUCGAGUGCCCUUGCGCCGAAAAUGUACCGGGGCUAAACAUAUUACCGAAGCUGUGGAUAGAACCAUUAGGUUCUAUGGUAGGAGAGCGUUCUAAGGGCGUUGAAGCUAGAUCGUAAGGACUGGUGGAGCGCUUAGAAGUGAGAAUGCCGGUAUGAGUAGCGAAAGACAGGUGAGAAUCCUGUCCACCGAAUGACUAAGGUUUCCUGGGGAAGGCUCGUCCUCCCAGGGUUAGUCGGGACCUAAGCUGAGGCCGAUAGGCGUAGGCGAUGGAUAACAGGUUGAGAUUCCUGUACCCGUUUGUUUUGUUUGAACAAUGGAGGGACGCAGUAGGUUACAAGAUCGCACUGUUGGAUAUGUGCGUUCAAGCAACAAGUCUUGGUAAGAGUCAAAUGCUUUUACCUUUAAGGAUGAGUUGUGAUGAGGAGGGAAAUAUAGUACCGAA